ACGAACGCUGGCGGCGUGCCUAAUACAUGCAAGUUGAGCGCUGAAGAUUGGUGCUUGCACCAAUUUGAAGAGCAGCGAACGGGUGAGUAACGCGUGGGGAAUCUGCCUUUGAGCGGGGGACAACAUUUGGAAACGAAUGCUAAUACCGCAUAACAACUUUAAACAUAAGUUUUAAGUUUGAAAGAUGCAAUUGCAUCACUCAAAGAUGAUCCCGCGUUGUAUUAGCUAGUUGGUGAGGUAAAGGCUCACCAAGGCGAUGAUACAUAGCCGACCUGAGAGGGUGAUCGGCCACAUUGGGACUGAGACACGGCCCAAACUCCUACGGGAGGCAGCAGUAGGGAAUCUUCGGCAAUGGACGAAAGUCUGGCCGAGCAACGCCGCGUGAGUGAAGUAGGUUUUCGGAUCGUAAAACUCUGUUGGUAGAGAAGAACGUUGGUGAGAGUGGAAAGCUCAUCAAGUGACGGUAACUACCCAGAAAGGGACGGCUAACUACGUG
rnacentral:rRNA from 1 species